rnacentral:rRNA from 1 species
UACAGAGGGUGCAAGCGUUGUUCGGAAUCACUGGGCGUAAAGGGUGCGUAGGCGGGUCUUUUAGUCAGGGGUGAAAUCCUGGAGCUCAACUCCAGAACUGCCUUUGAUACUGAAGAUCUUGAGUUCGGGAGAGGUGAGUGGAACUGCGAGUGUAGAGGUGAAAUUCGUAGAUAUUCGCAAGAACACCAGUGGCGAAGGCGGCUCACUGGCCCGAUACUGACGCUGAGGCACGAAAGCGUGGGGAGCAAACAGG